GAUGAACGCUGGCGGCGUGCCUAAUACAUGCAAGUCGAGCGAACGGACGAGAAGCUUGCUUCUCUGAUGUUAGCGGCGGACGGGUGAGUAACACGGGGAUAACCUACCUAUAAGACUGGGAUAACUUCGGGAAACCGGAUCUAAGACCGGAUAAUAUUUUGAACCGCAUGGGUCAAAAGUGGAAGACGGUCUUGCUGUCACUUAUAGAUGGAUCCGCGCUGCAUUAGCUAGUUGGUAAGGUGACGGCUUACCAAGGCAAGUAUGCAUAGCCGACCUGAGAGCGUGAUUCGCCACACUGGAACUGAGACACGGCCCAGACUCCUACGGGAGGACGCAGUAGGGAAUCUUACGCAAUGGGCGAAAGCCUGACGUAGCACAGCCGCGUGAGUGCUGAAGGUCUUCGGAUCGUAAAACUCUGUUAUUCGGGAAGAACAUAUGUGUAAGUAACUGUGAACAUCUUGACGGUACCUAAUCAGAAAGCCCCGGCUAACUCCGUG
rnacentral:rRNA from 1 species